AGAACGUAGCGAAAUGCGAUACUUGGUGUGAAUUGCAGAAUCCCGUGAACCAUCGAGUCUUUGAACGCAAGUUGCGCCCGAAGCCUUUAGGUUGAGGGCACGCCUGCCUGGGUGUCA
rnacentral:rRNA from 2 species